UGGGGAAUUUUCCGCAAUGGGCGAAAGCCUGACGGAGCGACGCCGCGUGCAGGAUGAAGGAUUUCGGUCUGUAAACUGCUGUCAGGGGGGACGAUAAUGACGGUACCCCCAAAGGAAGCAUCGGCUAACUACGUGCCAGCAGCCGCGGUAAGACGUAGGAUGCGAGCGUUGUUCGGAUUUAUUGGGCGUAAAGCGUGCGUAGGCGGUACGACAAGUCUGGUGUUAAAGCUAGGGGCUCAACCCCUGUGAUGCACUGGAAACUGUCGAACUUGAGUGCGGUAGGGGAAGGUGGAAUUCCGAGUGUAGCGGUGAAAUGCGUAGAUAUUCGGAAGAACACCGGUGGCGAAGGCGACCUUCUGGGCCGCAACUGACGCUGAGGCACGAAAGCCUGGGGAGCGAACGGGAUUAGAUACCCCCGUAGUCC
rnacentral:rRNA from 1 species